rnacentral:rRNA from 1 species
UACGUAGGGUGCGAGCGUUGUUCGGAGUUACUGGGCGUAAAGGGUGCGUAGGCGGUCCUAUAAGUAUGGUGUGAAAUCUCCCGGCUUAACUGGGAGGGUGCGCUAUAGACUGUGGGACUAGAGUGUGGGAGAGGAAAGUGGAAUUCCUGGUGUAGCGGUGAAAUGCGUAGAUAUCAGGAGGAACACCGGCGGUGUAAACGGCUUUCUGGACCGUAACUGACGCUGAGACACGAAAGCGUGGGUAGCAAACAGG